AACGAACGCUGGCGGCAUGCCUAACACAUGCAAGUCGAACGAAGCCUUCGGGCUUAGUGGCGCACGGGUGCGUAACGCGUGGGAAUCUGCCCUUGGGUUCGGAAUAACAGUUAGAAAUGACUGCUAAUACCGAAUGAUGUCUUCGGACCAAAGAUUUAUCGCCCAAGGAUGAGCCCGCGUCGGAUUAGCUAGUUGGUGAGGUAAAAGGCUCACCAAGGCGACGAUCCGUAGCUGGUCUGAGAGGAUGAUCAGCCACACUGGGACUGAGACACGGCCCAGACUCCUACGGGAGGCAGCAGUGGGGAAGUAUUGG
rnacentral:rRNA from 1 species